rnacentral:rRNA from 1 species
CGAAGGGUGCUAGCGUUGUUCGGAAUUACUGGGCGUAAAGCGCGCGUAGGCGGACUGCCAAGUCAGAGGUGAAAUGCCGGGGCUUAACCCCGGAACUGCCUUUGAAACUGUCAGUCUGGAGGUCGAGAGGGGAUAGCGGAAUUCCUAAUGUAGAGGUGAAAUUCGUAGAUAUUAGGAGGAACACCGGUGGCGAAGGCGGCUAUCUGGCUCGAAUCUGACGCUCUGGCGCGAAAGCGUGGGGAUCAAACAGGAUUAGAUACCCUGGUAGUCCACGCUGUAAACGAUGAGUGCUAGCUGUCGGCUCCGUUAGGAGUCGGUGGCGCAGCUAACGCAUUAAGCACUCCGCCUGGGGAGUACGGUCGCAAGAUUA